CCCCUCUCAGGGUUGCACCUGGAGAGUUUCCAGUACCCUACCAGUCUCGACCACGGUAGGGAGAGCCAAGCUGAGGUCUACCCAUUCCAUUCCUAGCCUGGGCAGUGGCUAGCCAGUGGAAGGCCAUCUGCUACAAGU